UGGAAAUUGAGCAGUCAUCUUGUACCAUUGUGGGGACAUGAGGACAAAAGCUAACAUCGAGAAUGGUAAAACAGAAAGACUGAAAGCACCAGAUACUUGUGAGGCUACCCUAUCAGAAAAUCUCAGACUGUCUCUUCAGAGAGCAUCCCCAUCUUGGCCUCACACGUCACAUGUCCUGAAGUGCAAAACUGCAAAGGGGAUGAACUCAGUCUAAUACGAAGACAUUGGAGGCUAGGGCACAGCAGGAUUUGAGGGGAUGUGGAUUCCUGGGCCAUGAAACCAAAGAUGAAA